rnacentral:rRNA from 1 species
ACGGCGAGUGAAGCGGCAGCAGCUCAAAUUUGAAAUCUGGCUCUUUCAGGGUCCGAGUUGUAAUUUGUAGAGGAUGUUUCGGGUACGGCUCCGGUCUAAGUUCCUUGGAACAGGACGUCCUAGAGGGUGAGAAUCCCGUAUGUGACUGGCCGCCACGCCCGUGUGAAGCUCCUUCGACGAGUCGAGUUGUUUGGGAAUGCAGCUCAAAAUGGGUGGUAAAUUUCAUCUAAAGCUAAAUAUUGGCCAGAGACCGAUAGCGCACAAGUAGAGUGAUCGAAAGAUGAAAAGCACUUUGGAAAGAGAGUUAAACAGUACGUGAAAUUGUUGAAAGGGAAGCGCUUGCAACCAGACUUGCCCGCGGGUGAUCAGCCGGUAUUUUUACCGGUGCACUCGCCCGUGGUCAGGCCAGCAUCGGUUUGGGCGGUUGGACAAAGUCCCCUGGAACGUAGCUCCCUUCGGGGAGUGUUAUAGCCGGGGGUGCAAUGCAACCUGCCCGGACCGAGGACCGCGCUUCGGCUAGGAUGCUGGCGUAAUGGUUGUAAGCGACCCGUCUUGAAACACGGACCAAGGAGUCUAACAUCUAUGCGAGUGUUUGGGUGUCAAACCCAUGCGCGUAAUGAAAGUGAACGGAGGUGGGAACCCACCAGGGUGCACCAUCGACCGAUCCUGAUGUCUUCGGAUGGAUUUGAGUAAGAGCAUAGCUGUUGGGACCCGAAAGAUGGUGAACUAUGCCUGAAUAGGGUGAAGCCAGAGGAAACUCUGGUGGAGGCUCGCAGCGGUUCUGACGUGCAAAUCGAUCGUCAAAUUUGGGUAUAGGGGCGAAAGACUAAUCGAACCAUCUGUUACUAGAUGGCAUACGGGGCCGGGUGCGCCCGAGUAGUCCCCGUGCGCGGGGGCGACAUCGUCGGUCUUCCGGGGACGCCUCUGGGCUACCCGCAGUGGGCUUCCGGGCCCAUCCACAGACUAAGUGGCGGUGGCCGUGCCGGCGGCGCGGUUAGGAUAUAGCCGA